ensembl:lncRNA
ACUUUGCUGGAGAUCCUUGCUUACCUGAAGUCUUCUAAAGCAACUCCUUUCCUCGGUGCCUGGACCACCCGCCUCUUGGAGAUGACCCCGGCCUCAGCCUCUUCCCAUGGCAAUGUGACUCAGCGCUCUUUGGAACAGCUGUCACAGCUGCGUGUCACCGAGUAAGGAGGGAACAGCAAAAAGCCACAACACCUCCAGUGUAGAGCUCAUCUGCAAGACAGGGAAGGCAGACUUGCAUUCUCUGACACUGUAAAAGAACGUUAAACUCAGUUAUAUGAAUUCCAGGCAAAACGUAAAAGAACCUCUCUCCUCUCCUUAUGUCCUUUCCCAGAGGUUUUGUCAGCACUUUUCUGCCCCACAUGUUCUUGGAGGCUGUUUCUAACAGCUGUGUGCCCAGUGCCUGUCUGCCUGUGUUCAGCAGCAAGAAUUUAGGCGUUUAGGGAUUUUUAAAAGUUAGAAACACACUCUCUUAAGAACUUAACCAAACUGAGGUAGAAGCCAUGGGGGAAAUUUUCAGGAUCUAUAUUUUAGUUUUAAUCGCCCAAAUCCCUUCAGGGAGCUUCACAUACCAAUUAGUGACCAUUUUAGUGGUAAUGAGGAAGGAAGAAUCAAGUACAAAAAAACAAAGUUUGCUGGAAAAUUGAUGUCUGGCACAGUUUGAAAAAAUGUGAUAAACAAGAUAACAAGCAACAGGAGCAGAAGUUCGUUUUUGACAGAUGCAGCCUUUAGAUUAGUAUGACAAUUAUUUUCAUUAUGAUGGAAGCAAAUGUAACUUUGCAUUUUGUAGCUGAUAGUGGACAAUCCACUGGUUGUGCAGAGAUGGGCAAAUACCAUAAAUUGCUAUGAAAUGUUAGAAAUUCUCUCUGGGCCAGUCCAGUCAGCAUGUAUCAAGGUAUUCAUUUGGAAAAAAACAACACAUUUUGGGCAGCAGUGACCUCUCUGAAGACCUCCUCUAAAAGCUGCCAGUGUUGAUUUGGAUUUCGUGGAAUAAUAGAAAAUGUUACGCUGUUUUUACAAGCCUUCCCAUUAUUUUGGUUGGUAUGGGAAUGAGUAUUAAGACAAGCUCUUCCAUAUACAUUCUUGGAACGAAUGAUCCCUAAUACUGACUUUCAACCUGGGAAAAUCUAUUAGCACUUUGCCUAGCACCUAGAGCUUUUCUAAUCUUAACUUUUUGACUGUAAAUUUUCUUUCAGCUUUUCAUGUCAUGGCUUUCUGUCACCUGUUGAAGCAGAAUUAUUUAACAGAUAUUUGCUUCUUUAUCUUCAGACAGUUCUUCACAGUAUUUUACCAUCUGGCCAUCAUGGCCUGUUUUUCUGCAUGUCAUCUGUUUCUGAUUUAACAAUUCUAGUCUGUGGUUUAGAAACUCUUGUCUGUGACCUCCGUAUCUUGAAUAUCCUCUGUGAGUCACCUUCAUCAUUGCUGUCUUCUAAUUCCUCUCACUUCUUCUGAUCUCCUUUACU